rnacentral:rRNA from 1 species
CAGCCGCCGCGGUAAUACAGAGGGUGCGAGCGUUAAUCGGAUUUACUGGGCGUAAAGCGUGCGUAGGCGGCUUUUUAAGUCGGAUGUGAAAUCCCUGAGCUUAACUUAGGAAUUGCAUUCGAUACUGGGAAGCUAGAGUAUGGGAGAGGAUGGUAGAAUUCCAGGUGUAGCGGUGAAAUGCGUAGAGAUCUGGAGGAAUACCGAUGGCGAAGGCAGCCAUCUGGCCUAAUACUGACGCUGAGGUACGAAAGCAUGGGGAGCAAACAGGAUUAGAGACCCCUGUAGUCCCUGUCUCUUAUAA